UCCCAGGAAAAACCCGCUCUUUAGCUUUAAAUCAGAACAAACAGCAAUCCACGGAAAAUUGGGUUGCUGUUUGUUCUGAGUGAGCACUAGAGAGCAGUUUUCUCUGAGGA